rnacentral:tRNA from 1 species
CCAUCUUCUAGUUUAAAUAGAACAACUAAUUUGCACUUAGUAGGUAGAUUAUUCUGAAGAUGA